AUUGAACGCUGGCGGCAUGCCUUACACAUGCAAGUCGAACGCGAAAGCGGGGCAACCCGCAAGUAGAGUGGCGAACGGGUGAGUAAUACAUCGGAACAUAUCCAGUAGCGGGGGAUAACCUAUCGAAAGAUGGACUAAUACCGCAUACGAUCUACGGAUGAAAGCAGGGGACCGCAAGGCCUUGCACUAUUGGAGUGGCCGAUGUCGGAUUAGCUAGUUGGUGGGGUAAAAGCCUACCAAGGCGACGAUCCGUAGCUGGUCUGAGAGGACGAUCAGCCACACUGGAACUGAGACACGGUCCAGACUCCUACGGGAGGCAGCAGUGGGGAAUUUUGGACAAUGGGGGCAACCCUGAUCCAGCCAUGCCGCGUGAGUGAAGAAGGCCUUCGGGUUGUAAAGCUCUUUCGGUGAAGACGAAACGGUUCAUGCCAAUACCAUGAAUUAAUGACGGUACUCACAGAAGAAGCACCGGCUAACUCUGUGCCAGCCGCCGCCGUAAUAC
rnacentral:rRNA from 1 species